CGGCACUCACGGACACGGACACUCGCGCCCCGCGGGAGCCGUGGCGGGGACGGCUCUCUCGGCGGCGGCGGAGCCCCGCCGCUUGUGAACUUUCACGCAGAGCACCAGGGAGAGGCUUUCCGAGAGCGCCCGAGCAAGAUUCAAGCAGCAUCUCGGGGCGGAUGCGCCGCAGCCCGAGGGGCGCUGGUGCCGAGCACCCAUCGCUGCCUCUUUGGACGCGAGGCAUGGCCUUGGCUCGGCCGUCCGUCCCAGGAGGAAGCGGUCAGAAGUGGUCCGUGGUCAGAAGCUGAGAGCGGAGGAACAAGUGAAGCCGGUGCAAAAAUACUGUUCCUGUCGUUAAGACAAACGCUUCCGUGGGGAAGAGGACCCUGUCUGUUCUUCUGCCCCUCAGCUCUAGGAGGUACCAGGCUUGUCACCUGCAUUGUCCAGAGACAACUGGAAAUCCGUUGUUGCCCGCUGUGGGGACGUGUGCCUUGUAAUUUGGGAUUGAUCCAUGGCAGCCCCAAGAAAUGCUCUCCAGGCGUGAUCGCAGCCAGGAGGGACGAUGACUGGACCUGUGCAGGGUGGUAUCACUCAACUGACAGGUGAAGCGGUGGAAUAAGAGCACACAGUUUGGGUGCUCUUCCUGCUUCACUACAGCGUGCUGUCUAACUUGAAUAAACUGAGACUUUUGAAGCAGUUUGCCUCACAUGCUGUGAAGAGGGCACAAGUUAGAUACACAGAAUCACUGAGGUAGGUACAGACCUCUGGAGAAGUCCUGGUUCAGCCUCCUGCUCAGUCCAGGGCCAACUCUGAAGCUGCAUCUAACUUCACGGUAAGAUAAGGAUACUCAGGCCUAAAUGUAAGAAAACAAGUUUGAAAGACCACUGAGGAAAGUAACGACUUCAGGUAUAGGCACCCAACAGAAGAGAUCUGGACUGUGUAAACCCAAGGCCAAGAAAGAGGAAGAAACACAUUUUCAUGCAGUAUAAGGUAACAAACAUGACCAUAUUCCAGCAUAUACCUUGUUAGACCUUCUGGGAGUCUGAAGCAGCAAGACAUGACAUCCUAAUUUCAACCACUGUGAGAUGGAAGCCAUUCACAUUGAGACUGCAUGUUCCUGUUUUGGAACAGAUGGAGUGAGUAACAGUGAAUAAAAUGAUACAAUUAAAUUAAAUGCAGCAAGCUUCAGCAAGCACAGUUCCUGAUCCUGCAAGAUGCCAAGUACUCUCAAGUCAAGAUAAGGUACUUAGAGCUCUACUCUGAAUGAAACAAGCAGAAAAGACUAAGUACGAAACUCAUUAAUAUGGAACAGGCACCAAAGAAGGGCAUCUCUUCCCUUACCUACAGGACUACUCCUGAAUCACUUAAAUGGUCAAUUACCCAGGUCGCCACUGCAAUAUCAAUUUCCAUUUCUGACUCCCAUAGUCCUAUGAAAAUCAAUGACUAUACCAUUGGUGCAUAUUGGUUUUCAUGCACUUUGAUGCUCCCUUUUUCCAAACUGCUGAAGCCAAAAAUUGAUAUUACAGUAUGUUCUUUAUAGGAUGCCUAAU